AACGAACGCUGGCGGCAUGCCUAACACAUGCAAGUCGAACGAGACCUUCGGGUCUAGUGGCGCACGGGUGCGUAACGCGUGGGAACCUGCCCUUAGGUUCGGAAUAACUCCCCGAAAGGGGUGCUAAUACCGGAUAAUGUCUUCGGACCAAAGAUUUAUCGCCUUUGGAUGGGCCCGCGUUGGAUUAGCUAGUUGGUAGGGUAAAAGCCUACCAAGGCGACGAUCCAUAGCUGGUCUGAGAGGAUGAUCAGCCACACUGGGACUGAGACACGGCCCAGACUCCUACGGGAGGCAGCAGUGGGGAAUAUUGGACAAUGGGCGAAAGCCUGAUCCAGCAAUGCCGCGUGAGUGAUGAAGGCCUUAGGGUUGUAAAGCUCUUUUACCCGGGAUGAUAAUGCCAGUACCGGGAGAAUAAGCUCCGGCUAACUCCGUG
rnacentral:rRNA from 1 species